rnacentral:rRNA from 1 species
GACAGAGGAUGCAAGCGUUAUCUGGAAUGAUUGGGCGUAAGGCGUCUGUAGGUGGCUUUUCAAGUCCGCCGUCCAAUCCCAGGGCUCAACCCUGGACAGGCGGUGGAAACUACCAAGCUGGAGUACGGUAGGGGCAGAGGGAAUUUCCGGUGGAGCGGUGAAAUGCGUAGAGAUCGGAAAGAACACCAACGGCGAAGGCACCCUGCUGGGCCGACACUGACACUGAGAGACGAAAGCUAGGGGAGCGAAUGGGAUUAGAAACCCGGGUAGU